rnacentral:rRNA from 1 species
ACUGCUCAGUAACACGUGGAUAACCUGCCCUUGGGUCCGGCAUAACCCCGGGAAACUGGGGAUAAUUCCGGAUAACGCAUAUCUGCUGGAAUGCUUUAUGCGUAAAAUGGAUUCGUCUGCCCAAGGAUGGGUCUGCGGCCUAUCAGGUAGUAGUGGGUGUAAUGGACCUACUAGCCAACAACGGGUACGGGUUGUGAGAGCAAGAGCCCGGAGAUGGAUUCUGAGACAUGAAUCCAGGCCCUACGGGGCGCAGCAGGCGCGAAAACUUUACAAUGCGGGAAACCGUGAUAAGGGGACACCGAGUGCCAGCAUCAUAUGCUGGCUGUCCAGAUGUGUAAAAUACAUCUGUUAGCAAGGGCCGGGCAAGACCGGUGCCAGCCGCCGCGGUAACACCGGCGGCCCGAGUGGUGAUCGUGAUUAUUGGGUCUAAAGGGUCCGUAGCCGGUUUGGUCAGUCCUCCGGGAAAUCUGAUAGCUCAACUAUUAGGCUUUCGGGGGAUACUGCCAGACUUGGAACCGGGAGAGGUAAGAGGUACUACAGGGGUAGGAGUGAAAUCUUGUAAUCCCUGUGGGACCACCUGUGGCGAAGGCGUCUUACCAGAACGGGUUCGACGGUGAGGGACGAAAGCUGGGGGCACGAACCGGAUUAGAUACCCGGGUAGUCCCAGCCGUAAACGAUGCUCGCUAGGUGUCAGGCAUGGCGCGACCGUGUCUGGUGCCGCAGGGAAGCCGUGAAGCGAGCCACCUGGGAAGUACGGCCGCAAGGCUGAAACUUAAAGGAAUUGGCGGGGGAGCA